GCCAGGCAUGAUAGUACAUGCCUGUAGGCCCAGCUACUUGGGGGGAGUGGAGGCGGGAGGAUCACUUGAGGGCCGAAGUUCUGGGCUGUAUUGCACUAUGCAAUCAGGUGUCCCCACCACAUUGGGCAUAAAUCUGGUGAUUUCCUGGGAGCAGGAGACCACCAGGUUGCCUUACAAGGGGUAAACUGGCCCACAUCGAAAACAGAGUAGGUCAACAUUUCCAUGCUAAUCAGUAAUGGGAUCCAGCCUAUGAAUAGCCACUGCACUCCAGCUUGGGCAAUACAGCAAGACCCUGAAUUUU
ensembl:misc_RNA Metazoa_SRP Metazoan signal recognition particle RNA